GGAAUCGAAAGACCACUGAGAUGGCGGGGCAAGCCCUUGACAAUAUAUUAGAUAAAUCUAAAUCUAAUAUAAAGAAAGGGGUUGCUCCUUCAUCUCACAAGUCCACAAUCUUCUG
rnacentral:precursor_RNA from 12 species